rnacentral:lncRNA from 1 species
AAACAGAUGGUCGUCGCAUCCUGCGCUCCGAAUAAUCAUGGCAAUUUGGGGAUUCGUAAUCAGAAAACCGGCCUUGAACUCCGUGGCUCUUCCUCGCCCCGUGGGUCUCUUCCCUGCGCAUGCAAAACGGUCAUCAAGCGUCAAUAUGAAGACCAAGUCGUUUUCGUGUCGGGAGAAAUUUGGGUGAUUUCCACAGAAGGUACCGUUUGAGAGAACUUCUGAAAAAGCAGUGGCUUUUACCCUUGUUAGAGAAGGUGUGCUUGACAGGUUUGGAGAAGUUGAUGCGUUUCUUCAUGCGGCGACACAGCAAAACGGAAAAGCUCUUCGCCCGCUGGGCCAGCCCAUGAGGUGACUCAAGACGUAGCUGUCGAAGCUAGGAAUCAUCUUAUAUAUGGAGGAGAAGGAUUGGUGAUACGGGCGUUCUUUCGCAUGGGAAUGCUCAAAAAACGCGAAACUCGAAUUGGUACACGACACACAACAUGCUUCCGUGGUGCUGGUCUUUUGCUGCUUUCUUGUCUAAGUGAAAUUUCACCAACUAGAGUUUGUGUCGUUCCGAGUCUCUUGCUUCAAAUGUACCGAGAACAUGCGAAUUUGACCUAGCAUGGGAGCUCCAUACGGGGAAUGCGUUGACGCCAAAACGUCUCGAGGAUACGGUUUGGCCGUUAUCCAGCUUCAUCUUGAAUGGAGUGUUAUUCGUCGAAUAAGUUUCAUCGUUACUGAUAACUCGUAGACAUGUUCGCGGAAUAAAUACAAGCAAGGUUUUGUAUGGAAUGCUUUUCAUCUGCUCUGUUUGUCUCACACCUGCGUGCCUGCCGGGGAAAGACAUCCCAGAAGGUGCAAAAAGUGAAAGUGGUGGCACGGGGAAAAGAUGUAGUGGAGAAUUCAACCUAAUUUGUUUCGGAGCUAUCUUUCUCCUGUAAUCCAUGUUUGCCGGGGAAAUGGCAUGUGGCAGCCUCAAAAAGAAUUCACAUGCCGAAGUGGUAGGGGUCGAAGGCCUGAUUGUAUGUCUCUGUGUCAGUCGAAGUGUAUAGGCGGAUGCGUUUUUUAGUCGCUUCCAAAUUCCGUCACGCUUUGACUUCAAAACCCCAUCCUUGAAAAAACCACGAGUUCUUUACACUGGAACGUGUCAGCUAAGCCGUUGUCAUGGCGGAGUACUCAAAUCGAUUAGACGCAUUAUAGGACCCAGGAUACUAGACUUCAGACGACGGGUUUAGACCUUGGAGGUCUUUAUUCAUCGAAUCCACGUUCUGGGCGACUUCAUGUGCUAAAUACGAAGUCCAUGGGAAGCUUGAAUCUUACGCUUUGUCUUCUUCGGGUCCUUUCGUGCAAACUAAAGGGGAAAAGAGAAGACGAUUCUCUACAUUCGCCAAUCUCCGGGGACGUCGAUGAAAGAACCUCUCCCCGUUUCCAAGCAAGAGGCAAAAAAAAACAACCGCAAUUUGACAGACGCCGGUGCAUAUUUGUCGUUCUGUCUUUUGUCACUG